rnacentral:lncRNA from 1 species
UACUGACAGAGGAAAAUGAUCAAGUAUGUCGACUCCCCAUUGAUUAAAGGGCCAAGGUGCUGAGAUGUUGGAAGGUGACUUAACGAAAGUCUCGGGAUAUUGGCAAACCUUUGAUACUGAUCACACUUCUACAUCAAGUUGGCAGCAUCCUUUUGCAUGAUCGGCUAAUAAUAUUCUUGUCAGAGAAUCUUAUAGAAUAGCAACUUGUUCCCAAGUGAUUAUCACAAAUGUCUUCAUGCACC